ACUCCUACGGGAGGCAGCAGUGGGGAAUAUUGCACAAUGGGCGCAAGCCUGAUGCAGCCAUGCCGCGUGUGUGAAGAAGGCCUUCGGGUUGUAAAGCACUUUCAGUCGUGAGGAAGGUGGUAGUGUUAAUAGCACUAUCAUUUGACGUUAGCGACAGAAGAAGCACCGGCUAACUCCGUGCCAGCAGCCGCGGUAAUACGGAGGGUGCGAGCGUUAAUCGGAAUUACUGGGCGUAAAGCGCAUGCAGGUGGUUUGUUAAGUCAGAUGUGAAAGCCCGGGGCGUCAACCUCGGAAUAGCAUUUGAAACUGGCAGACUAGAGUACUGUAGAGGGGGUAGAAUUUCAGGUGUAGCGGUGAAAUGCGUAGAGAUCUGAAGGAAUACCGGUGGCGAAGGCGGCCCCCUGGACAGAUACUGACACUCAGAUGCGAAAGCGUGGGGAGCAAACAGGAUUAGAUACCCUGGUAGGACAGUG
rnacentral:rRNA from 1 species